rnacentral:rRNA from 1 species
UGGGGAAUCUUGCGCAAUGGGCGAAAGCCUGACGCAGCAACGCCGCGUGGGGGACGAAGGCUCUCGGGUUGUAAACCCCUUUCAGGAGGGACGAAAAUGACGGUACCUCCAGAAGAAGCCCCGGCCAACUACGUGCCAGCAGCCGCGGUAACACGUAGGGGGCAAGCGUUGUCCGGAUUUAUUGGGCGUAAAGAGCUCGUAGGCGGCUCACUAAGUCGGGUGUGAAAUUUCGAGGCUCAACCUCGAAACGCCACCCGAUACUGGUGUGGCUAGAGUCCGGUAGGGGAGCGUGGAAUUCCUGGUGUAGCGGUGAAAUGCGCAGAUAUCAGGAGGAACACCAGCGGCGAAGGCGGCGCUCUGGGCCGGUACUGACGCUGAGGAGCGAAAGCGUGGGGAUCAAACAGGAUUAGAUACCCUGGUAGUCCACGCCGUAAACGUUGGGCACUAGGUGUGGGGAGUUAUCAACGCUCUCCGUGCCGUAGCUAACGCAUUAAGUGCCCCGCCUGGGGAGUACGGCCGC